AACGUAGGAGGCGAGCGUUAUCCGGAGUUACUGGGCGUAAAGCGCGUGUAGGUGGCUAGUUACGUCUGCUGUGAAACGUCCCGGCUUAACCGGGACUAGGCGGUAGAUACGGACUGGCUUGAGGGUGACAGAGGAGCGUAGAAUUCCGGGUGUAGUGGUGAAAUGCGUAGAGAUCCGGAGGAAUACCAGUGGCGCAAGCGGCGCUCUGGGUCGAACCUGACACUGAGACGCGAAGGCAUGGGGAGCGAACGGG
rnacentral:rRNA from 1 species